rnacentral:lncRNA from 1 species
ACCGGUUUAUCAUUGCCACAUGAAAAAAUGGUUGCUUAGGUGUGUGUCCAUAAAUUUCUGCUUCAUUAUUAAGAAAAUGCCUAUGUUUUGUAUAAGUUUACUUACAAUGAACUGAACCUCAAUUGUAGAAAGCACACAUUGAGAAGUACAUUGUACCAAACACUGGUACAUCUCUUACAAUUUCAUCAAAGUACAUUUCUUCUCACACUACUCUUAAAGCUUACGUUCUAAUUUUUUUUGUUAUCUUUCUUUUCCAGGGUAGCUCAUGAUUUAAAAUAGGAGUGCACUGCAGGAGCCACGAGAAACAACAGAAGAAUUAGUUUUUAAAUGGACAAAUAUUAUGUGUUAUGUAAAGGAUUUAGCUUCAUCACAAAACUUAGUUCUAGUUGUAUGAUUUUUUCUUAAUUGUUUGCAUCUUUCAUAUUAAUGUCUGAUUUGAUUCAGUUUAGAACUCAAGAUGUUUAUUCUUACUAAUUGAUAUUGUGCGAAUGAGAUGCUUGUGAAUACAACUGGUGCUAUU